CCCUCGGUGCCUCUGGCUUGGGCGCAGCUGCGCCACGCUGGUACGGUCCUUGGCUGCUGCUUGUGGAGCGAGCUGACAGCCUGACGCAACUAGAUUUCCUGGGAAACGUGGCAGGAGAGUGGCGUGAAUGCAGUUAAUGGCGAGAUGUCAGCGGCUGGCCUUUGGCAGCAUCUCUGCAGGAGCACAGCCGCAGCACUUCUCGCUUUGGGACGGUCCCCACGGCACCGUCAAGUGCCACGAGGACCAUGAGCGAUGCCCGGGGCUGGUGCUGAGCCAUCCCUGCCCGGUGGCUGAAGGAUGCCCUGUGGAGGCUCCAUUUCGAACGUGCUGCCUCCGUUGGUGGUGGCUUACAGGAAGCUGGAAUCCAAAUACCUGAGUGCUCGGAAGAGCUUAAGUGAAGGA